GCCUUCGUGGUGCAGUGGUCAGCACGCUUGGCGCCUAUUCGAGAGGCCCUGGUUCGAGUCCUGGCUAGGGCA
rnacentral:tRNA from 1 species